rnacentral:rRNA from 1 species
AGAGUUUGCUUCUGGCUCAGGACGAACGCUGGCGGCGCGCCUAACACAUGCAAGUCGAACGAGCGAGAGGAGGUUUACUUUCUCAAGCGAGUGGCGAACGGGUGAGUAACGCGUGAGGAACCUGCCUCAAAGAGGGGGACAACAGUUGGAAACGACUGCUAAUACCGCAUAAGCCCACGGUACCGCAUGGUACUGAGGGAAAAGGAUUUAUUCGCUUUAGGAUGGACUCGCGUCCAAUUAGCUAGUUGGUGAGGUAACGGCCCACCAAGGCGACGAUUGGUAGCCGGACUGAGAGGUUGAACGGCCACAUUGGGACUGAGACACGGCCCAGACUCCUACGGGAGGCAGCAGUGGGGGAUAUUGCACAAUGGGGGAAACCCUGAUGCAGCGACGCCGCGUGGAGGAAGAAGGUUUUCGGAUUGUAAACUCCUGUCGUUAGGGACGAUAAUGACGGUACCUAACAAGAAAGCACCGGCUAACUACGUGCCAGCAGCCGCGGUAAAACGUAGGGUGCAAGCGUUGUCCGGAAUUACUGGGUGUAAAGGGAGCGCAGGCGGGAAGACAAGUUGGAAGUGAAAACCAUGGGCUCAACCCAUGAAUUGCUUUCAAAACUGUUUUUCUUGAGUAGUGCAGAGGUAGAUGGAAUUCCCGGUGUAGCGGUGGAAUGCGUAGAUAUCGGGAGGAACACCAGUGGCGAAGGCGGUCUACUGGGCACCAACUGACGCUGAGGCUCGAAAGCAUGGGUAGCAAACAGGAUUAGAUACCCUGGUAGUCCAUGCCGUAAACGAUGAUUACUAGGGUGUUGGGGGAUUGACCCCCUCAGUGCCGCAGUUAACACAAUAAGUAAUCCACCUGGGGAGUACGACCGCAAGGUUGAAACUCAAAGGAAUUGACGGGGGCCCGCACAAGCAGUGGAGUAUGUGGUUUAAUUUGAAGCAACGCGAAGAACCUUACCAGGGCUUGACAUCCAACUAACGAAGCAGAGAUGCAUUAGGUGCCCUUCGGGGAAAGUUGAGACAGGUGGUGCAUGGUUGUCGUCAGCUCGUGUCGUGAGAUGUUGGGUUAAGUCCCGCAACGAGCGCAACCCUUAUUGCCAGUUACUACGUUAAGAGGACUCUGGCGAGACUGCCGUUGACAAAACGGAGGAAGGUGGGGAUGACGUCAAAUCAUCAUGCCCUUUAUGACCUGGGCUACACACGUACUACAAUGGCGUUAAACAAAGAGAAGCAAGACCGCGAGGUGGAGCAAAACUCAAAAACAACGUCUCAGUUCAGAUUGCAGGCUGCAACUCGCCUGCAUGAAGUCGGAAUUGCUAGUAAUCGCGGAUCAGCAUGCCGCGGUGAAUAAAUUCCCGGGCCUUGCAC